GCGAGAGUGGCGAAAGUUGGCAAACGCACUGGAUUUAGGAUCCAGCGGUGAAAACCUUGGGGGUUCGAGUCCCCCCUCUCGCACCA
rnacentral:tRNA from 1 species